UAGAUGAAUCCUGUACAGAAUUAUAUACACCCUCGACGAGAAGCGCAUUGCUGGGAGGCAUUUGUCAAGAUGGUUACUGUAAAUGCUCUCAAGAUGACUGCUUGUCUUGUGUCCAGCGUGAAUUCAAAGUUGAGGAGCUAAAGAAAAAAGCGUGCCUCGAAUUUGACUUUGCUUUUAUUGGCGAAGUGAUCCUGUUAGAUGAGGUGGACACGAGAAAGCAGUCCUGGAUCACGUAUGAAAUGAGGAUAGACCAGGUAAUCAAGAAAACUAAAACAAACUUCGCACAAGGAGACUUCAUUGAGUUCAAGAAAAGAGCAGGAUGUGCAUGUCCUAAGCUGGUAGAGAGGAAAAACUAUAUGAUCAUGGCAAACGAAGAUGGACCAUUCUUUGUUUUUGACUCGAAAUCUUUUGUAAUUCCUUGGGAGAAGAGACGAAAAAACAAGAAUAUGUUCGAUGAUCUUCGUGCAAGAAUAGGAUUAGAUCCUAGGUGUACAUUGUAGGACUUAGUUUAUCGUUUUUGUUUUGUACUGUUUUUUAUACAAACUUUUUCAAUGUUCAUUUUUCAAAUGUUAGAAAAGAAGAGAGAAAAUGAAAAAGGGCAAAUUAUAGUUAGCUAAUAAGAUAUCCUUUAAGUUAAAUUACAUUUUUUCAUAUAAUAAAACAAAACAAUACAAAUAUUAGACUUAAAUAUGCUUGUUUUAGUCGUUUAGUUGUUACAUUUUUGUUUUGCGAGGGAACUGAUCUCGCAAGAGCUCUAAAAGAUAAUCCAUUGACUUGAGGUACUCUAUAAUUUCAUAGGAUUUUCAUAUUAGUUAAACAAGUAAAACGAAGCGUAAAUGAAGCCCAAAAACAACAAAAUGGGCUUGUCAAUUGUGGUUAUGCAAAAAAUCGGUCAGUUGGUACUGUGCUUUCACGAGGUCAGAGUCGCGAAAGAAAACGUGCUUACGUGUCAAAGCCAGUUAUUAUAAAUUAUAAAUUUUGUCAAUUUGUCAAAGCUAUUGGCUUCUAUUUUUUCC